rnacentral:rRNA from 1 species
CCUACGGGGAGCUGCAGUGAGGAAUAUUGGUCAAUGGGCGGAAGCCUGAACCAGCCAAGUCGCGUGAGGGACUAAGGCCCUACGGGUCGUAAACCUCUUUUGCCGGGGAUCAGUGCCCAGCUCGCGAGCUGGGAGGGAGCGUACCCGGAGAAAAAGCAUCGGCUAACUCCGUGCCAGCAGCCGCGGUAAUACGGAGGAUGCGAGCGUUAUCCGGAUUUAUUGGGUUUAAAGGGUGCGUAGGCGGGCCUUCAGGCCGGCGGUAAAAUUGCGGGGCGCAACCCCGCCGAGCCGUCGGAACCGGGGGCCUUGCAGCGCGAACUGGCGUGCUGGAGUCCGCGGAAAGCAGGCGGAAUUCGUGGUGUAGCGGUGAAAUGCUUAGAUAUGACGAAGAACCCCGAUUGCGAAGGCAGCUUGCUGCAGCGGAACUGACGCUGAUGCUCGAAAGCGCGGGUAUCGAACAGGAUUAGAUACCCCAGUAGUC